rnacentral:rRNA from 1 species
UAGGGAAUCUUGCGCAAUGGGCGAAAGCCUGACGCAGCAACGCCGCGUGCGGGAUGAAGGCCUUCGGGUUGUAAACCGCUUUCAGUGGGGACGAAAACAGACGGUACCCACAGAAGAAGCCCCGGCCAACUACGUGCCAGCAGCCGCGGUAACACGUAGGGGGCGAGCGUUGUCCGGAUUUAUUGGGCGUAAAGAGCUCGUAGGCGGCUCAGUAAGUCAGGUGUGAAAACUCCAGGCUCAACCUGGAGACGCCACCUGAUACUGCUGUGGCUAGAGUCCGGUAGGGGAGCAUGGAAUUCCUGGUGUAGCGGUGAAAUGCGCAGAUAUCAGGAGGAACACCAGUGGCGAAGGCGGUGCUCUGGGCCGGUACUGACGCUGAGGAGCGAAAGCGUGGGGAGCAAACAGGAUUAGAUACCCCCGUAGUCC